UACGGGGGGGGUAAGCGUUGUUCGGACUUACUGGGCGUCAAGGGCUCGUAGGCGGCCAACUAAGUCGGACGUGAAAUCCCUCAGCUUAACUGGGGAACUGCGUCCGAUACUGGAUGGCUUGGAUUUGGGAGAGGGAUGCGGAAUUCCAGGUGUAGCGGUGAAAUGCGUAGAUAUCUGGAGGAACACCGGUGGCGAAGGCGGCAUCCUGGACCAAUAUUGACGCUGAGGAGCGAAAGCUAGGGGAGCAAACGGG
rnacentral:rRNA from 1 species